rnacentral:antisense_RNA from 1 species
GGGAAACUCACUCAAGGUCAAAAACUUUGUUAGGAACAGAGCUCAUCAGAGCCCGCGGUCUCCAGAACCCCACAACAACAUCUGAAAAUAGAGAGCAGCCGCCUCACCCGCAACAGGGGGAGCCCCUCCUGCCACCAGGGGACCGUCGCCGCCCUUCGCGAGAAGCUGCAGGCGUGGCAGAAUGGCUUGGUGGGCGGUGCCCGGGGCGUGCCUGGGCGGGGCCGGGUGAGAGGGGUAGUGCAUAAGGCC